rnacentral:rRNA from 1 species
UACAGAGGUCUCAAGCGUUGUUCGGAAUCACUGGGCGUAAAGGGUGCGUAGGCCGCACGGUAAGUCAGAGGUGAAAUCCCGGGGCUCAACUUCGGAAUUGCCUCCGAUACUGCCGUGCUUGAGGACUGGAGAGGAGAUUGGAAUUCACAGUGGAGCAGUGAAAUGCGUAGAUAUUGUGAGGAACACUAGUGGCGAAGGCGAAUCUCUGGACAGUUCCAUGACGCUGAGGCACGAAGGCCAGGGGAGCAAACGGG